rnacentral:rRNA from 1 species
CACGUAGGCACCAAGCGUUAUCCGGAUUUAUUGGGCGUAAAGAGCUCGUAGGCGGUUCGGUAAGUCGGGUGUGAAAACUCUGGGCUCAACCCCAGAGAGGCCACCCGAUACUGCUGUGACUAGAGUGCGGUAGGGGAGCGGGGAAUUCCGUGGUAUAGCGGUGAAAUGCGCAGAUAUCAGGAGGAACACCGAUGGCGAAGGCAGGUCUCUGGGCAUUAACUGACGCUGAGGAGCGAAAGCAUGGGGAGCGAACAGG